GGAAGACUUAAGAUGGCGGCGUUUGCACGGAGUGCAAUCACUGCGUCCUUACGGGGGUUGCAAGGCGUCCGAAGUAUGAGUCCACUAACAAAAGUCCAGAAACUCGCCAGUUAAUAGUAUUGUGUCUCUUCAAAAUAUCGGAGAAUAAUUUCUUUCUCGCUGAUCGCCUAACUUCUACUGACGAAGCUUGGAAGUUGCAGAAGAUGGAGUUCGCUCUUGUUGCCCAGGCUGGAAUGCAAUGGCAUGACCUUGGCUCACUGCAACCUCUGCCUCCCCAGUUCAAGUGGUUCUCCUGCCUCAGCCUCCCGAGUAGCUGAGAUUACAGAGUUUCGCUCUUAUUGCCCAGGCUGGAGUGCAAUGGCACGAUCUUGGCUCACCACAACCUCCACCUCUCAGGUUCAAGCGAUUCUCCUGCCUCAGCCUCCCAAGUAGCUGGGAUUACAGGCAUGAGCCACCACACCCGGCUAAUUUUUUGUAUUUUUAGUAGAGACAGGUUUUCUCCAUGUUGGUCAGGCUGGUCUCAAACUCCCAACCUCAGGUGAUCUGCCUGCCUGGGCCUCCCAAAGUGCUGGGAUUACAGGCGUGAGCCACCACACCUGGCCAGGAAAUAAUUCUUGAUGGUAACUCAGAUCCACAGGGG
rnacentral:lncRNA from 10 species